GACGAACGCUGGCGGCGUGCUUAACACAUGCAAGUCGAACGCUGAAGCUCAGCUUUUGUUGGGUGGAUGAGUGGCGAACGGGUGAGUAACACGUGAGUAACCUGCCCCCUUCUUUGGGAUAACGCCCGGAAACGGGUGCUAAUACUGGAUAUUCACUGGUCUUCGCAUGGGGGUUGGUGGAAAGGGUUUUUCUGGUGGGGGAUGGGCUCGCGGCCUAUCAGCUUGUUGGUGGGGUGAUGGCCUACCAAGGCUUUGACGGGUAGCCGGCCUGAGAGGGUGACUGGUCACAUUGGGACUGGGAUACGGCCCAGACUCCUACGGGAGGCAGCAGUGGGGAAUAUUGCACAAUGGGCGCAAGCCUGAUGCAGCGACGCCGCGUGAGGGAUGGAGGCCUUCGGGUUGUGAACCUCUUUCGCUCAUGGUCAAGCCGCAACAAUGGUUGUGGUGAGGGUAGUGGGUAAAGAAGCGCCGGCUAACUACG
rnacentral:rRNA from 1 species